rnacentral:rRNA from 2 species
GAAUUUUAUAUAAAUUUUAUUUGUGUGCAAUAUAUAUUAUAGAUUGUAGAAGUAUGAUUUGUAUUUGAUUGGGAGGAUUAUUAAAUUUUAUAAACUUUAAUAUAAAAAUAUAGACAUUAAUUUAUGAUAUUGAGAUUGAUUAAAAUUUAUAAUUAGAUUUUAUAAUAGAAUUAAUUACCUCAGGGAUAACAGCGUAAUAUUUUUAGAAAGAUCUUAUUGAUAAAAAUGUUUGC